rnacentral:lncRNA from 1 species
GUAGUGUUACUUUUUGGUUCUUGUACAUACUGAUGUUAUAUUCUCGAUGGAGCGAGUAUUUUUGUAUCUGGAUACUAUGUAUGUAUUUGAACCGAUGUUAUUUAUAUAUGUUUCUUUUUAGCAGCUCUAUACUACUGAUUGUAGUACUGUUGUAUGAUUAUAGGUACGAGUACAGCUAUCGCUUCGUAUACAAAGAAAAUUUUUUUAUGUACGGCGGGUCUGUUAGCGUGCCCGGGGAAACGAGUAAUCCGGAGCGUGACAGAUUAAGUUGGUAUCAGAGCUUAGCAUUAGGUCGUUGGAACCUAGGAACCCUAAGCUUGGCAAACCUUAGGAAGAUAAGACGCGAGAUGCGUGAUUUAUCACGAAAGUCAGCGAUUGAAUUGUUUUAACUUUUCCUAGAGUGGAGUGAGUGACUGAAGAAGCGUCUGGUUCGACCAAGGAAAUUAUCUCUGCUGCAGACGACAUAAUUUUGAGGAGAAAUAGGGGCCGCCUUCUAGACUUUCGUUUGAUUGGGUCGGGAGUUGUAAUAUACCGAAACUUCGGUAAAUAAAUAUCGAACUUU